rnacentral:rRNA from 1 species
UACGGGGGGGGCAAGCGUUGUUCGGAAUUACUGGGCGUAAAGGGCUCGUAGGCGGCCAACUAAGUCGGAUGUGAAAUCCCCAGGCUCAACCUGGGAACUGCAUCCGAUACUGGAUGGCUUGAAUCCGGGAGAGGGAUGCAGAAUUCCCGGUGUAGCGGUGAAAUGCGCAGAUAUCGGGAGGAACACCAAUGGCGAAGGCAGCUCGCUGGGACGGUACUGACGCUGAGGCGCGAAAGCGUGGGGAGCAAACAGG